UACGAAGGGGGCUAGCGUUGUUCGGAAUCACUGGGCGUAAAGGGCGCGUAGGCGGCUUUAUAAGUCGGGGGUGAAAGCCUGUGGCUCAACCACAGAAUUGCCUUCGAUACUGUAGAGCUUGAGACCGGAAGAGGUAAGUGGAACUGCGAGUGUAGAGGUGAAAUUCGUAGAUAUUCGCAAGAACACCAGUGGCGAAGGCGGCUUACUGGUCCUGUUCUGACGCUGAGGCGCGAAAGCGUGGGGAGCAAACAGG
rnacentral:rRNA from 1 species